rnacentral:rRNA from 1 species
UACGUAGGGGUCGAGCGUUGUCCGGAGUUACUGGGCGUAAAGAGCGCGCAGGCGGCUGGUCAAGUCCGAUGUGAAAGCUCCCGGCUUAACUGGGAAAUUGCAUCGGAAACUGAUCGGCUUGAAGGUGGGAGAGGGUAGUGGAAUUCCCGGUGUAGUGGUGAAAUGCGUAGAUAUUAGGAAGAACACCAGUGGCGAAGGCGGCUCACUGGUCCGGUACUGACGCUGAGGUGCGAAAGCGUGGGGAGCAAACAGGG